rnacentral:rRNA from 1 species
AUGCACGCUGGCGGCGUGCCUAAUACAUGCAAGUCGAGUGAACAGACGAGGAGCUUGCUCCUCUGACGUUAGCGGCGGACGGGUGAGUAACACGUGGAUAACCUACCUAUAAGACUGGGAUAACUUCGGGAAACCGGAGCUAAUACCGGAUAAUAUAUUGAACCGCAUGGUUCAAUAGUGAAAGACGGUUUUGCUGUCACUUAUAGAUGGAUCCGCGCCGCAUUAGCUAGUUGGUAAGGUAACGGCUUACCAAGGCAACGAUGCGUAGCCGACCUGAGAGGGUGAUCGGCCACACUGGAACUGAGACACGGUCCAGACUCCUACGGGAGGCAGCAGUAGGGAAUCUUCCGCAAUGGGCGAAAGCCUGACGGAGCAACGCCGCGUGAGUGAUGAAGGUCUUCGGAUCGUAAAACUCUGUUAUUAGGGAAGAACAAAUGUGUAAGUAACUAUGCACGUCUUGACGGUACCUAAUCAGAAAGCCACGGCUAACUACGUG